GACGGGGAGCACCGCAACGGGUGGAGCCUGCGGUUUAAUUGGACUCAACGCCGGGAAGCUUACCGGAUAAGACAGCGGAAUGAUUGCCGGGCUGAAGACUCUGCAUGACCAGCUGAGAGGAGGUGCAUGGCCGUCGUCAGUUCGUACUGUGAAGCAUCCUGUUAAGUCAGGCAACGAGCGAGACCCACGCCAACAGUUGCCAGCAUGGUCUCCGGACUGAUGGGGACACUGUUGGGACCGCCUCUGCUAAAGAGGAGGAAGGAAUGGGCAACGGUAGGUCAGCAUGCCCCGAAUUAUCCGGGCUACACGCGGGCUACAAUGGGCAGGACAAUGGGUAUCGACACCGAAAGGUGAAGGCAAUCUCCUAAACCUGUCCUUAGUUCGGAUUGUGGGCUGCAACUCGCCCACAUGAAGCUGGAAUCCGUAGUAAUCGCGUUUCAAAAUAACGCGGUGAAUGUGUCCCUGCUCCUU
rnacentral:rRNA from 1 species